UAUUGUUUCUAACGAUACUCAUAUUCACCAC
rnacentral:piRNA from 1 species